AGCGAACGCUGGCGGCAGGCCUAACACAUGCAAGUCGAACGAACCCUUCGGGGUUAGUGGCGGACGGGUGAGUAACACGUGGGAACGUGCCUUUAGGUUCGGAAUAACUCAGGGAAACUUGUGCUAAUACCGAAUGUGCCCUUCGGGGGAAAGAUUUAUCGCCUUUAGAGCGGCCCGCGUCUGAUUAGCUAGUUGGUGAGGUAAAGGCUCACCAAGGCUACGAUCAGUAGCUGGUCUGAGAGGAUGACCAGCCACAUUGGGACUGAGACACGGCCCAAACUCCUACGGGAGGCAGCAGUGGGGAAUCUUGCGCCAUGGGCGAAAGCCUGACGCAGCCAUGCCGCGUGGAUGAUGAAGGUCUUAGGAUUGUAAAAUCCUUUCACCGGUGAAGAUGAUGACUGUAGCCGGAGAAGAAGCCCCGGCUAACUUCGUGCCAGCCGCCGCGGUAAUAC
rnacentral:rRNA from 1 species